GGGACUAUAGUUUAAUGGUAGAAUAGCUGCCUUCCAAGCAGCUGGCAUGAGUUCGAUUCUCGUUGGUCUCA